rnacentral:rRNA from 1 species
UACGUAGGGCGCGAGCGUUGUCCGGAAUCAUUGGGCGUAAAGAGCUCGUAGGCGGCCUGUCGCGUCGGUUGUGAAAGCCCGGGGCUUAACCCCGGGUCUGCAGUCGAUACGGGCAGGCUAGAGUUCGGUAGGGGAGAUCGGAAUUCCUGGUGUAGCGGUGAAAUGCGCAGAUAUCAGGAGGAACACCGGUGGCGAAGGCGGAUCUCUGGGCCGAUACUGACGCUGAGGAGCGAAAGCGUGGGGAGCGAACAGG